UAUUUUCUUGAGGCAGAGUGAACAAGAUUUAAUUGGGGGUAAUGACCAUGUAUAGUCUGUACUCCUCCAAUCUAGAAUACUUUCCGAAGUUAAAGGGGGCACUGUUAAUUACACUGGGAGAAGAGGAGUAAAAUUAGACUGUCCUAAGCCAACCUCGAGUGGUCAUCCUAAGGUUAAUGGUUAAGAGAAGUCAAAACUGCUUUAGGACCUGGUAAAAGUAAAUGGAAGUGGCAAUGAUGGAAACAGGGACUUGGGAAGACACUGGUUUUAGGGAGAAGAUGGCUGUAGCAGUCCCAGGUGUCAUAUGGUUGGGACAACAUCGACAGGCAGGAGCAAACCACCCCAGAGGCUUCAUAGCAGGCCACUCCUUUGGUGCUCAGCUAUCUCAGGAACUCAGUUGGCACUCAGAGGCCUCCAUAAAUCCACAGACAGCUUCCCUGCCUUUCCCUUACAAGUGUAAUCCACUGCUUACUGAUUGACUUGUCAUCUCCAUGGAAGAUGUACCUCUCUAGGCCUGACCCUUCUCUGGAGGGGAAAACACUUCUUUCCCACAUCAGAUGUUUCUUAAAGUAUGGAGGGGGUGCCACUAACAUAACACUCGAUACCUCAUUCCAGCGCUUCUAACAAGUUUCCUGAUGUGGCAUUCUGGGAACAAAACCUACCCUUUACCAGUGGCCCCACGAGAUUCCACAAAGGAGGUGAAAUCAGUAUUGAAGUGGCCUUAUGAAGAUGGGAGCAGGACUACCCUAACUGACUGCUGACUUCUUACCCAAGGGGGAUAACCAUGUCCUAAGGUGAUCUCAGCGGGACCCACACUGUGGUUAUAAGUGAACAGGGUGUGUUCACGGAGUUGAUACAAACAACACGGGAUCUGGCAUCGGACAUCCUUCACACAAAACCUGCCUUACCAUAUAUUAAUGGAGUGACUUGGCGAAGCUACUUAACUUCCUUCAGCUUCAGUUUCUUCAUUUGUAAAAUAGGAAUGAAAACAUCUUCCCCAGAGAUUGCACAUGAAGAUGAAGUGAGGCAACAUAGUAACCACUUGCAUGAGUUACCUUACACAGGAGGUCCUGGUAAGGAAUGUGGAACCAACAAGCUACUACCAACCAGAAGAAUUCAGGAAAGGUCAAAAGGAGAGAGGAGAAUCCAGUCCAUAUGUCCUGCCAACCUCCCAGAAUCCUUCUCGCUGGACUCCAUCUUGGCUGAGUGAUGUGCGUGCCACCAGGAAGGGCCCUGAGUCAGAAUGAUUGACCAGAGACGACCCGGAAACUAACCCCAUUCCCAUAAUACCCGAGACUGUGAGCCACGUGGCAGAGCAGUCCUCUGGGGUUCCCUAACCCUCCUGCUCUCCACUCGGGUGCCCCUUCCCAAUAAAGUCUCUUGCUUUGUCAGCAAGUGUGUCUCAGACAGUUCAUUUCUGAGUGUUAGACAAGAGCCCACUCUCGGUCCCUGGAAGGGGUCCCCUUCCUGCAACAAAUGGCUACUCUGGUGAGGCCUCUUCUUUGCUAUGACUGACAUCCUGACCACUUGGGGUACUCAGAGACCAGCUUGCCUGCCGACGGAUCAGACCCAGUGGCUGCAACUGGGACCUUUUUGUCCCUGGUCUCCUCCUGACGUGGACGACUGGCCAGAAUGCCCCGACUGGGUAAGGAACAAGAGACUUUAUUGACCUCUUUUCCCUUCCCUCUUUUCAACGCCUCCUAUCUUACCCUUUUUAUUUCUGUCCUGGUCCUGGACACAAGAGUCUGGUUGAAGGGCCUCAGCCUAAUCCGAGGGUUGGAGUCUGAUCACCUCUGGUAAGCAGAGAACUCGAAUUCUCGUUCUGGUCCGGUAUCUGGUAUCUAGUUUCUGGUAGGGCCGAGUUCCCGUCCUUCCUUCCUGGAAGCCCAGGGAAAAGUCCCGUAAUGCCUGGGCAUCUGCAGGUGGCAGGAGAUGUCUGUAAGGCCACCCCCUUUUUCCCCCACUCCCCUCAUCUUUCAAUCUGGCCUCCUUUCCUCCCUUUGAAAUCUUUGAAGACCUAAGGUAUUUCCGUUUACUCUGUUAGUACUUGGAUCUGAAGUUCUGUGUCUCUGUAGGAGGUUUUCUGAGAGACUGCAAUCUUGUAUUUAAGGGAGUGUCUGAUUAGGACAGCCAGUCCUGUGUGUGUUUUAUACUUUGUAUUCUGUGUUGUGAUUUGUGAUGGCCAUUCUGCCUUGUGAAACGGGAAAUUCUGGUUCUGUUAAGCUAUGAGAUCUCUGGUUGUGUUUGUCUAUAUGUCUGUGUGCAUUAUAUAUAUUAUAUAUGUCCGUCCUUUUGGAUGGUAUUAUCAAAAUUUGUCAAUGAGCUCUACUUAAUUGGCUUAGAGGAAGUUAAGUGCUUAUAUAAAUUCUGGAAAAUAUAGAAUAUAACUGGCCAGAAUUAAUUUCAGGUUCAUGUGAAUUGGGAAAUAUUCAGUAUUAAAUUAAUAUCUGGUAUUAAACAUAGUUUAAGUUUGUUAAUCUAAUUAAUAUGGGCAUGUCUUUAGAGUCAUCAACAUUAAGUAUAACACCUUUAUUGUACCUAGGUUUAAUAGAAAUUAGAGACAUCAAUUACUAAACAGAGAAACUACAGGUAUUUAAGACUAUUAGUGAAUAUGUUUGGUGCCACCCUGAGAUGUUCUCUAUAAGAAAACAAAUGAUUUUAGAAAUCAUCACUGGUAUUUAUGUUUACCAAUCUACAGAGUGCUAAUGUAAAAGACAGUUCAUAAUUGCUUACUUCUUAGUUUUCACUAGAAAUUAAGAUUUGAGGACUCAUUUAAACAUAUAAUUAGGGCUAAUAAAAAUAAUAAAGGAAGCAUUUCAGUAUGCAGUAGGAAAGUAGGAUAUGUGUUUUCAGUGAAGAAGGUAUGAGGAAUGGAAUUACAUUUUAAUAAGGGAAAAGUAAGUGAGUCUGUCAUAGAGCUGGUUCUGGAUGGAGAAGAAAAUGGGGGAUAGACUAAUAAGGUUAAAGAAAGUGAUGGAGGAGGGUUUGUGGAUGUCAGGAUUGACUAAGUUUAAAAUAAAUUUAAUUGGGUAAAUGAAUUUUAGAAGUAAGCUGAUGUAAAACUUGAAUUUGGCUUUUCUCUCUGUUAAGAGACAAGUUUUCUUAAAAUGUUGAGCUGCCUUUGAUAACAGAUUUUAAGUUUCUUUACCUUUUAAGUGAUCUGUUCUGUAUUUGUCUUUGAAAUCUUCUGUCACUUUGGCUAAGUGAGUAACUAUUGUUUCACAGUGACUAUGAUCCUAUCUGACUGAGUGUUCUAAACCCUUUUUGAUAUUUUUUUGAUAAAACUUCCCAAAUCAAAUUGUAAUGAAGUUUCAUUGACCUCUAGCUAACUUUGCAAUGCUUCAAAGGGCUCCUGAAACAUCCCAAAGAGAGAUAUUAAACUAAUUAAGUUCAUUUUAUAUGUUAAAUUACAUGAGAAGUAUUGUCAAAUG